rnacentral:sRNA from 10 species
CGAACCAAGAAAUUAACACUGAUCCAUGUAGUUACUCUCCUCUUGUCUUUUCUCUACUAGUAACUUAACUAGAAAAAAUCUGCAAAGUCAUCACAGUGAAUUAAGGUGAUGAACAUGCAUUGACAUGUCCAGAAAACUGCACGUGUGAGUUUUGGUUUUGAAACUAAUGGAACACACAAGUCCAGUGAUGAUCAGUUGCUGUCAUGAUACAGUAGCUAGAUCUUAGCAAGCAGAAUCAAUGUAGUUUUCAAUCUUAUAGUGGGCUUGAUAAAAGAAGCAGACUGGAAGAAGAGAAAAUACAAGUCCACAAAUCGAUACAGUUAUUGCAUAAACAAGUUGGGUUUUCAAGCUUUGCAGUAUAGGCCAACUGACCCGAGUGGAUAUUUAAGAUCUGGACUUGGCUUGUCGACCAUGAUAAAAAAAAAGUUAUACAUGUGUACUGUGCCAGAGCCUUGAAGAGAAAAAUGGAAAAGUGAGGGUUUCUCAUCUAGGCUUCAACUGUUGUUGUGAUAAUCAGUCUCAUUUCUGCAGUUUCAGGGGGGUUUUUGUUCAUCAGUCAAUGUGGCUUGAUCGAU